UUUCACUCUUGGUUCUAAAGCUCCUUCGUUUCUUUCUCCCUUUCUCCCUCCGUUUCUUUCAUUCACAGAAACUCAUCCAAAAAACUCUAGCACUGUAAGCCUACACCACCGCCGCCGCAAGGAGUGGCAUACUGCUGCCGUCCGUCCGUCUAUCUAGCUUCCCUCGUGCACCAUGUCUUCAACUCCCGUUCGCUAUCACCGAUCGCAGCUGCUUCCUCGAGCUCGGCGUCCGUCGUCUUUGUCUGCUCAGCCGCGCUUCCGCCGCCGUUGGUUGCCGUUAACGUUCGCGUCUUCGUUCAGCCGUCGUCUUCAUUCGCGUUCUUCGCCGUUCAAGUUUGCUCGGCGUUCACCGUUCGCGUUCACUCGCCGUUCACUGUUCGCGUUCACUCGCCGUUCACCAUUCGCGUUCACUCGCCGUUCACCGUUCGGGUUCGCGUUCGUCUGGAAGCCACGUUGCCCUGCUUCAAACUCUGCGACCAACCCGUGCGCUCCACCUAGCCGUCGAACUGCUCUCUUUUGUCACCGCCCAUGGCACUCUCGGGGCACUUGUCCAAGAUUCUGUUAAGAGCCACUACUAGACCCUGUUUUACUGUGCACCCACCCUCCGCCACUGCCGCUACCCCAGUGCCACCACUAGGCCGCCACCGUGUUGCUCCGGCCAUUCACUCAUCAUCAUCAAUCUUUCCCUUCCCUUCCCCUGUUCCAAUUCCCUGCUUCCCAGGGUGAGAUGUGUUGAAAGUUCAGUGUGUUUGUUCAGGAAGGGAAUGUGCUGAAUAAUUAUAUUAAAAGAUGGAUUUAGGCAUUCUUUUCUUCCUCUUUCACACCCUGCAGGUUUUGACAGCUACUAAAAUUAGAUAUUGGAGGUUUUGUUCAAUUAGAUGCUAGGUUUUGACAAGUCCCCAUGAGAUGUAAUGGCAAAAGAGAAUUGAUAGGCACACAGUUUCUUCUUGUUAUCAUGCUAUAUAAAAAACAUGUCUCAGUUGUGGUGGUUUGGUUUGGUUUUUGUUGUUUUCCAUUGCAGGAAUGCUAUUGAUUCCUCUUUAUUCAAGCAAUGGUUGCAUAACUUGCAAAGUGAGAUUGGGAUUCUAGCUGAUGGCACCUUGGCUCUGAGACAAGUUCUAAUUCAGGGUGUAGACAUGUUUGGAAAGCGCAUUGGGUUUCUCAAAUUUAAAGCUGACAUUUAUAAGCCAG